AAGAGUCUUUGCUUAAGGGAUACAAAAGUUUCAGACAGUGUGCUAUGUGAAUUCCCCGGCUCUUCCUUGGAAGCACUUGAUAUUUCAAAUACCACGAUAUCUCGGAUGGCUCUUGUUCGUGUAAUUAGCAGAAAUCCUAA